rnacentral:rRNA from 1 species
UACGAAGGGGGCUAGCGUUGUUCGGAAUUACUGGGCGUAAAGCGCGCGCAGGCGGUCUUCCAAGUCAGUGGUGAAAGCCCGGAGCUCAACUCCGGAACUGCCAUUGAAACUGUUAGACUUGAGGAUGAGAGAGGUGAGUGGAAUUCCCAGUGUAGAGGUGAAAUUCGUAGAUAUUCGGAAGAACACCAGUGGCGAAGGCGGCUCACUGGUCCGGUACUGACGCUGAGGAGCGAAAGCGUGGGGAGCGAACAGG